AGCUGAGUUUGAUCCUGGCUCAGGAUGAACGCUAGCGGCAGGCUUAACACAUGCAAGUCGAGGGGUAUAGUUCUUCGGAAUUAGAGACCGGCGCACGGGUGCGUAACGCGUAUGCAAUCUACCUUUACAGAGGGAUAGCCCAGAGAAAUUUGGAUUAAUACCUCAUAGUAUAAUGACUUGGCAUCAAGACAUUAUUAAAGUCACAACGGUAAAAGAUGAGCAUGCGUCCCAUUAGCUAGUUGGUAAGGUAACGGCUCACCAAGACUUUGAUUGGUAGGGGAACUGAGAGGUCAAUCCCCCACACUGGCACUGAGAUACGGGCCAGACUCCUACGGGAGGCAGCAGUAGGGGAAUAUUUGGGCAAUGGACGCAAGUCUGACCCCAGCCCAUGCCGCGUGAGUGACGAAGGUCUUCGGAUUGUAAAGCUCUUUGGCGGGGGUACGAUAAUGACUGUACCCUAAG
rnacentral:rRNA from 1 species